rnacentral:rRNA from 1 species
CUAGACUCCUACGGGAGGCAGCAGUGGGGGAUAUUGCACAAUGGGGGAAACCCUGAUGCAGCGACGCCGCGUGGGUGAAGAAGCGCCUCGGCGCGUAAAGCCCUGUCAGCAGGGAAGAAAAUGACGGUACCUGAAGAAGAAGCCCCGGCUAACUACGUGCCAGCAGCCGCGGUAAUACGUAGGUGGCAAGCGUUGUCCGGAUUUACUGGGUGUAAAGGGCGUGUAGCCGGGCUGACAAGUCAGAUGUGAAAUCCGGGGGCUCAACCCCUGAACUGCAUUUGAAACUGUUGGUCUUGAGUAUCGGAGAGGCAGGCGGAAUUCCUGGUGUAGCGGUGAAAUGCGUAGAUAUCAGGAGGAACACCGGCGGCGAAGGCGGCCUGCUGGACCGCGACUGACGUUGAGGCUCGAAAGCGUGGGGAGCGAACAGGAUUAGAUACCCCAGUAA